rnacentral:misc_RNA from 1 species
GAGAUAGCUUCUAAACAAAGCGAACCUCCCACCCGUGUUUAUUACAUCUUGUUGCUUUGGCGUCCCACAUCACGUGAGCGCCAAGGACAUAAUUGAACUCUGUAUGAAGUUUGCAGUCUGAGAAUAUAACUUAAUUAGUUAAAACUUUCAACAACGGAUCUCUUGGUUCC